rnacentral:lncRNA from 1 species
UGCCUCUCUCUAACAGAGACUCGCUCAGCUGCAGAGAGCCCUUCAAUUCCAGCAGAGAGGGCAGACUGUCAUCCGAGCUCGGCCCAUCCUGCUGUCUGCGCUCUCCAGAGAGCGUGCUUCAUCCUGAUAAACAGGCUGCGAGCCGGGCAUGUGACUGAACGUGACUGAACUUCUUAAGGGAAAUAGAAGACAUAGAGGCGCCCCUCCCACACCUUCACAGCACAAUUUGCUAGGCAGGGCCAUCCUCUCAAUGGGGAUGACGCUUUUCUAAAAGACGUACUUUCAGACUGUCUGAAGUGAGAUAGAGGAUAUUUUUAUCAUUGUGUGGCACGAGGCCCUUCAGGUUGCCUUGGCUGAUGUCAUUCAUCUGCCAGGCACCUCUCUUGGGAUUCGGUAUCAUCUAGAAGCUGUCUCCUGAAUGAUAGGCUACUCCGCUAGGAACUGCAGACAAAGAUACUGUCUGUGUUGGUUAUUUCCUCAUAGCUCUGACCACAUGUCAGACUAUCCCAGCUUCCUCAAGA